ensembl:lncRNA
CAAUGGUCCUUGCGAGUCCCGUCCAAUACAGGACAUUUUGUGAUUUUACAGUCUUGUUGCUUUCCUCCAACAGGAAUUUUAAGCACUCAUACAUACCUCAGUCAUCCGACACCACUUAGUUCACAGCUCUGAGGUUGCUUGUUUAAGUCAAAGCUUCAGGAGAUCACCAUAUUUUCAGGACCAGUAAUUUCUGUCUCAAGCUCACUGUCUGGUGCCGAGAUCCAUAGGAGAUAUCACCAACAUGAACUGGGCCAGAGAUCCACAUGCCAGAGUCUCAGCAGCUCUUGGAAAUGUCCGUGUAAGUGGUUUGUUGGGCAGGACCACAUGCCUUCCAGGUUCCUCUGAGGUUCUCAAGCCCACAUGAGGUGCCCCCGGCCCCGUGCUUCAUGCAGUGCUGCAAAAGGACCAGCACAGCCAAGCUGCUCUGUCUGUGGGACUUCCCAGUAAAGUUGGAAACAGCCACGAUAACAAAACCCAGGAGAAAACACCCCCUCUUCCAUCAAAAUGCAGACGAGCAGGCUUGGCUCAUUCGAAAGGUCAGCUCACUGCCAGUCCAUCAACUUCUCCAAGGUCAUGUACAUAGCCAG